rnacentral:rRNA from 1 species
GACGAACGCUGGCGGCGUGCUUAACACAUGCAAGUCGAACGGAAAGGCCCUGCUUUUGUGGGGUGCUCGAGUGGCGAACGGGUGAGUAACACGUGAGUAACCUGCUCUUGACUUCGGGAUAACUUCAGGAAACUGGGGCUAAUACCGGAUAGGAGCUCCUGCUGCAUGGUGGGGGUUGGAAAGUUUCGGCGGUUGGGGAUGGACUCGCGGCUUAUCAGCUUGUUGGUGGGGUAGUGGCUUACCAAGGCUUUGACGGGUAGCCGGCCUGAGAGGGUGACCGGCCACAUUGGGACUGAGAUACGGCCCAGACUCCUACGGGAGGCAGCAGUGGGGAAUAUUGCACAAUGGGCGGAAGCCUGAUGCAGCAACGCCGCGUGCGGGAUGACGGCCUUCGGGUUGUAAACCGCUUUCGCCUGUGACGAAGCGUGAGUGACGGUAAUGGGUAAAGAAGCACCGGCUAACUACGUG